GACGAACGCUGGCGGCGUGCUUAACACAUGCAAGUCGAACGGAAAGGCCCUGCUUGCAGGGUACUCGAGUGGCGAACGGGUGAGUAACACGUGGGUGAUCUGCCCUGCACUUCGGGAUAAGCCUGGGAAACUGGGUCUAAAACCGGAUAGGAGCCAUUUUUAGGGUGAUGGUUGGAAAGUUUUUUCGGUGUAGGAUGAGCUCGCGGCCUAUCAGCUUGUUGGUGGGGUAAUGGCCUACCAAGGCGGCGACGGGUAGCCGGCCUGAGAGGGUGGACGGCCACAUUGGGACUGAGAUACGGCCCAGACUCCUACGGGAGGCAGCAGUGGGGAAUAUUGCACAAUGGGCGCAAGCCUGAUGCAGCGACGCCGCGUGGGGGAUGACGGCCUUCGGGUUGUAAACUCCUUUCGCUAGGGACGAAGCUUUUUGUGACGGUACCUAGAUAAGAAGCACCGGCUAACUACGUG
rnacentral:rRNA from 1 species